rnacentral:rRNA from 1 species
GGGACACGUGGUAUCCUGUCUGAAUAUGGGGGGACCAUCCUCCAAGGCUAAAUACUCCUGACUGACCGAUAGUGAACCAGUACCGUGAGGGAAAGGCGAAAAGAACCCCGGCGAGGGGAGUGAAAAAGAACCUGAAACCGUGUACGUACAAGCAGUGGGAGCACCUUCGGGUGUGACUGCGUACCUUUUGUAUAAUGGGUCAGCGACUUAUAUUCUGUAGCAAGGUUAACCGUAUAGGGGAGCCGCAGGGAAACCGAGUCUUAACUGGGCGUUAAGUUGCAGGGUAUAGACCCGAAACCCGGUGAUCUAGCCAUGGGCAGGUUGAAGGUUGGGUAACACUAACUGGAGGACCGAACCGACUAAUGUUGAAAAAUUAGCGGAUGACUUGUGGCUGGGGGUGAAAGGCCAAUCAAACCGGGAGAUAGCUGGUUCUCCCCGAAAGCUAUUUAGGUAGCGCCUCGUGAACUCAUCUUCGGGGGUAGAGCACUGUUUCGGCUAGGGGGUCAUCCCGACUUACCAACCCGAUGCAAACUACGAAUACCGAAGAAUGUUAUCACGGGAGACACACGGCGGGUGCUAACGUCCGUCGUGAAGAGGGAAACAACCCAGACCGCCAGCUAAGGUCCCAAAGUCAUGGUUAAGUGGGAAACGAUGUGGGAAGGCACAGACAGCCAGGAUGUUGGCUUAGAAGCAGCCAUCAUUUAAAGAAAGCGUAAUAGCUCACUGGUCGAGUCGGCCUGCGCGGAAGAUGUAACGGGGCUAAACCAUGCACCGAAGCUGCGGCAGCGACACUAUGUGUUGUUGGGUAGGGGAGCGUUCUGUAAGCCUGCGAAGGUGUGCUGUGAGGCAUGCUGGAGGUAUCAGAAGUGCGAAUGCUGACAUAAGU